rnacentral:misc_RNA from 1 species
ACUAGGAGCCGAUGAAGGACGGGACUAACACCGAUAUGCUUCGGAGAGCGGUAAGUACGCUUUGAUCCGGAGAUUUCCGAAUGGGGCAACCCAAUCAGCUUAGUCGCUGAUUACUUGACUAGUGAAUACAUAGCUAGCAAGAGGUAGACGCAGUGAACUGAAACAUCUUAGUAGCUGCAGGAAGAGAAAGAAACAUCGAUUCCCUGAGUAGCGGCGAGCGAAAAGGGAAGAGCCCAAACCAACAAGC